GGGGGCGUAACUCAGUGGUAGAGUGACGGCCUUUUAAGCCGUUCGUCGAGGGUCCGAUUCCCUCCGCCCUCA
rnacentral:tRNA from 1 species